rnacentral:rRNA from 1 species
AUGGAUGAGCUUGAUGAUGAUCAGGAAAACAACUCGGAGCUCUCGAAUGAAGAUUAUAUUAGUCAGUUCAUUUCUGAAUGUCAUAAUGCAUACGACCAUUACGGUGAAUCCGACGUGGAGACAAGCCUUAACGACGAAUCAUUAGAUGCACCUGGUUCUGGGGAGUCCGAGUCGUCGGUCAUCAUGAGUGAGGUGACAAAAGAUGGUGGGGUAAUGAAUGUCCAAGAUACAGCCAGUGCAGAUGACAAGAGGGAUAUGUUCAUGCAGAUAAUGGACAUGACUUUUAUGACUCAUGAUGCUGCGUAUGAUUUCUACAACAGCUAUGCUAGAGCUAAUGGUUUCAGCAUUAGGAAGAAUAAGGUCAGGUAUACCAAAACCGAGGCACAUCUUAUGCGUUAUACAAAGUUUGUUUGUUCCAGACAAGUUUGUUUGUUUGUUUGUUUCAGAGGUUGUAUGGACAAGUUGGGAUUAUAG